rnacentral:rRNA from 1 species
GACGAACGCUGGCGGCGUGCUUAACACAUGCAAGUCGAACGAUGAACCCGGAGCUUGCUCCGGUGGAUUAGUGGCGAACGGGUGAGUAACACGUGAGUAACCUGCCCUUGACUCUGGGAUAACUGCGGGAAACUGUAGCUAAUACCGGAUACGACCCUCGGCGGCAUCGCCAGGGGGUGGAAAGAAUUUCGGUCAAGGAUGGACUCGCGGCCUAUCAGCUAGUUGGUGAGGUAACGGCUCACCAAGGCGACGACGGGUAGCCGGCCUGAGAGGGUGACCGGCCACACGGGGACUGAGACACGGCCCAGACUCCUACGGGAGGCAGCAGUGGGGAAUAUUGCACGAUGGGCGCGAGCCUGAUGCAGCAUCGCCGCGUGAUGGAUGACGGCCUUCGGGUUGUAACCUCUUUUAGUAGGGAAGAAGCGAAAGUGACGGUACCUGCAGAAAAAGCACCGGCUAACUACGUGCCAGCCGCCGCGGUAA